rnacentral:SRP_RNA from 1 species
CCGUGCUAGGUGGGGUGCUAGCGGUGCCUUGUCACCCGCAAUCCGCUCUAGCGGGGCUGAACGCCCGCCCGAGGACCGUUGGUUCUUCGGGGUCAGUACGUCGAGGGCGGCGUUGAUGGUCAGGUCCCGCGCGAUGCACACCCGUGAAUCAGGUCAGGUCCGGAAGGAAGCAGCCUUAAGCGGUAGUGGGUAAGCGACGCGGAUAGGCCUGACCGGAGCCAGCCUUCAGCGAAAACGCCCGGGAACCGCCUUCGAAGGCGGGCCCGCACGG